UGAGGAAUAUUGGGCAAUGCCCGCAAGGGUGACCCAGCAACGCCGCGUGGAGGAUGAAUGUCGUAAGAUUGUAAACUCCUGUUAGAGGGGAAGAAUAGUACCGGUUGGACCGGUAUAUGACUGUACCCUCAGAGAAAGCCCCGGCUAACUACGUGCCAGCAGCCGCGGUAAUACGUAGGGGGCAAGCGUUGUCCGGAUUUACUGGGUGUAAAGGGCGCGCAGGCGGGAUAAAAAGUCAGUGGUGAAAUCCUACAGCUUAACUGUAGAACUGCCUUUGAUACUUUUAUUGUUGAGUUCGGGAGAGAGAGACGGUAGUCCAGGUGUAGUGGUGAAAUACGUAGAUAUCUGGAAGAACACCAGUUGCGAAGGCGGUCUCUUGGUCCGACACUGACGCUGAGGCGCGAAAGAGUGGGGAGCAAACA
rnacentral:rRNA from 1 species